AGAGUUUGAUCAUGGCUCAGAUUGAACGCUGGCGGCAGGCCUAACACAUGCAAGUCGAGCGCGAAAGUCUUCGGAUGAGUAAAGCGGCGAACGGGUGAGUAAUGCAUGGGAAUCUGCCUGGUAGUGGGGGACAACGUCUCGAAAGGGACGCUAAUACCGCAUACGCCCUACGGGGAAAGGGGGGGAUCUUCGGACCUCUCGCUAUCAGAUGAGCCCAUGUCAGAUUAGCUAGUUGGUGAGGUAAAGGCUCACCAAGGCGACGAUCUGUAACUGGUCUGAGAGGAUGAUCAGUCACACUGGAACUGAGACACGGUCCAGACUCCUACGGGAGGCAGCAGUGGGGAAUAUUGGACAAUGGGGGCAACCCUGAUCCAGCCAUGCCGCGUGUGUGAAGAAGGCCCUAGGGUUGUAAAGCACUUUCAGUGGGGAGAAAGGUUAGUCACCUAAUACGUGAGUAGAUUGAUGUUACCCACAGAAGAAGCACCGGCUAACUCCGUG
rnacentral:rRNA from 1 species